GUUCAGAAUAUUCAAGGAGGAAGUUUUCAAAAUGAUACUGUGACGAAUGUUAGUGUAGCAAGGUAAAAUGCAAAGGCUUUAAACAAUAAGACGGAAGAUAAACCAUAGUUAAAAUUUUAUUUUAUUUUACUGUUUUGACGAAUAUGACGUGGAGUUUCCCGCGUUUCGUUGGCAAGGAGAGCACUUUUCACCGACAAAACCGUUGGGCUGUGGCGGAAAACGCCGGAUUAGGGUAACAACUAAUAAAGUUUUGCUUAUCUUCAGAAAGGCAGGAGGUUUGGGUAUCUCUUUAACGCAGUGACCAUGGAACACGCAAAACGAUAAAAAGAAGAGCAACGAAUAUACGACAAAAAUACAUUUAAAGUUGGUGAAUGGGCAGAUGGUUUGGGUAUGGUUUGAAUGGGCAGAUAUUCGCCGUGAUGUGGUAUUCGAAGUGAAUCUAGAUACUGAAGAAAGUAUUUAAGCAUUCAAAUCCAAUUCCUGGUUUUAGAUAUGGAAGCGCAGUGAUUGUGCCGUUUAAAACGAUAUUCUUAUAGAUAUCACACUCUUUUAGCUGUCAAAAAGAGCUGCGACGUUUGGAAAGCGAUCACACGAGAUGAUAAAGUUGAAGUCUCCUGCUAUAGUUCUCACCUCUUACCGUUAAAAUCACAAUCACUUCAACUCUUUUUUAAUUUGUUUUCAUUUUCUGCUUGAAUUUGAUUUCUCUUUGCGUUUGUACUUACGAUAACCAUCAUUGCCCAAAGAAACAAAGAAACUCUUAGAAAUGGAAUCUGAAAUGACCGAGAGGAGGAUUCAUCUGCCCAACAACAAGAUAGCAAGUGAUGAAUACCUCUCAUCCGAACCAGGGGUCGCGUCUCAAAUUUUCCCACGAAAUUCCACAAUGGCGCUGCCACCGUGUUCCCUAUUGGUAUGGUAACGCAAACUACUAGAUACAAGGCUACAGUAGAUGAUCUUAUUCGACGCAAAUAGCAAGAAUCACUUACGACAAACGAAACAGUGCCAUACUUUGAAGAUGGCAUGCGCACGGGUUAAAGCUAAUAUGUGGGAUUAGAGCAUUAAGAAGCUAGCCAAUACAUUUGUGUAAAUAUUGGCAUAGAGAGGAAGGGAUAUAAAACCUUCUCGUUCUCAUUAGAAGAACCUCUUAUUUUUAAAGCUCAACUGAAAGCUUUAUUUCUGAAAUAUUUAUCCAUAUAUAGUACUUGAUAAUUUCAGGCGAAAAAAUACGCCUUUUUUUUCUAAGGAAUUAAAUUUUCUGUAUAUUUAUUUUCUAUAUAUGAGAGGCCGUUCUUUCGUUAAAAUUUCUCACUCAAGUUGGUUUAGAAUAUAUUCUAAAGGAUAUGAUUUAAUAAAGGGUCAUGUACCAUAAUCAACAGAGACAGUAAUAAAAAUCAAUGUCGAUGGCCCCAAAUUAACCGCCAGUAUAAAUUUCUUCUAAUUUCUACGGUCCAACCUUCUGUACAAAAAUAAACAAAAGAGCUUUUACGGAUGGUUUAUGAUGUGAAACCGUGAGUGUUAAUCUUUGUGGGUGAUUUUUUGUCAUUUUCUAAAGGUCACAUGGGCGGGAAUAACAGUCUCCUCGAAAAUUCAAGAGUGUGAAAAAUAAGAUAUGAUGCUCAAAACUUAAAAAUAUCAUUAAUGCUAGAAUACGGAUAUACGGAAGAUUUAUAACCCAAGGAUCACGUUUUCCCAUCCAAAAGAUUAAGAAACUACAAGAGAGUGUUGAGAGCUACCUAAUCCUUCUCAAAACAUGACUUAAGUAACAAAUAUCCUAAAUAUCAUUAUUCCAGAAUGUUUUGAUAUAGUGUUUUGAUAUAACUUAAUUUUUUUUUUGAAAUAUUAUUAUAGCUUCCUUUCCAAUUUCUGCAUUGGAAAAACCUCGCAUAAGAUUCACUUCCCUUUGGCCUUGCAAACAGUCCUUUGAUCUUUGGACUGAACCGCCCUUAGUUGAUUAUAUACUGUGUUCUGCGAGCAACAUAUUUGUUUGGAGGAUAUGUUAACUCUGCGCAAACACCACUGUUAUUAUAUUAGGCGGAUCUUAAACAAAUGGCGACGGCAGAGAACAAUGGAGUUUGAUUCAGAAUUAAUAGUAGCACGUGAAAUGCGUUUUGUCUAAUAAAUUUUUCUCCAAACCUU